GAAUUCGCCCUUAGAGUUUGAUCCUGGCUCAGGACGAACGCUGGCGGCGCGCCUAACACAUGCAAGUCGAACGAGCGAGAGAGAGCUUGCUUUCUCAAGCGAGUGGCGAACGGGUGAGUAACGCGUGAGGAACCUGCCUCAAAGAGGGGGACAACAGUUGGAAACGACUGCUAAUACCGCAUAAGCCCACGGCUCGGCAUCGAGCAGAGGGAAAAGGAGCAAUCCGCUUUGAGAUGGCCUCGCGUCCGAUUAGCUAGUUGGUGAGGUAACGGCCCACCAAGGCGACGAUCGGUAGCCGGACUGAGAGGUUGAACGGCCACAUUGGGACUGAGACACGGCCCAGACUCCUACGGGAGGCAGCAGUGGGGAAUAUUGCACAAUGGGGGAAACCCUGAUGCAGCGACGCCGCGUGGAGGAAGAAGGUCUUCGGAUUGUAAACUCCUGUUGUUGAGGAAGAUAAUGACGGUACUCAACAAGGAAGUGACGGCUAACUACGUGCCAGCAGCCGCGGUAAAACGUAGGUCACAAGCGUUGUCCGGAAUUACUGGGUGUAAAGGGAGCGCAGGCGGGAAGACAAGUUGGAAGUGAAAUCCAUGGGCUCAACCCAUGAACUGCUUUCAAAACUGUUUUUCUUGAGUAGUGCAGAGGUAGGCGGAAUUCCCGGUGUAGCGGUGGAAUGCGUAGAUAUCGGGAGGAACACCAGUGGCGAAGGCGGCCUACUGGGCACCAACUGACGCUGAGGCUCGAAAGUGUGGGUAGCAAACAGGAUUAGAUACCCUGGUAGUCCACACUGUAAACGAUGAUU
rnacentral:rRNA from 1 species